rnacentral:lncRNA from 10 species
AUGUUUCUUUUUGAAAACAGGGAGAAUAUCAUAUACUUAGAGAAAUAGGGUCUUCCACAAAGUCACAAUUGAGAUGUCAGUCUGCACCGUGAUAAUCUCAAAGCUGAAGGGGAGGAUUUGUUUCCUAAAACACAAGUGACUGUUGUUAGGUGUCAGAAGACCCACUUCCAAGAUCACUCAGCAUGACAGUGGCAACCUCAUUUUUCAUUGUCUGCAAACCGAAUGUCAGUUCCUUGCCACACAGACCUCUUCAUAGGGUUACUCACAACAUACACUUUGUUUACAUCCAGAGCCAGGACCACAAGGAAAAAAGAGUCAGCAAGGCACAAGAAAGAUAAACGUCACCAUCUUUUUGUAAGUUAAUCUCAGAAGUGAUACCUAUACUUUUCUGCCCAUUGCAAGGCAGUCACUAGGUCCCGUCCACACUCAAGAGGAGAAUGAUACACAAGGACUUGAGUACUGGGAUUCAGGAUCAUUGGGGUCAUCUUAGGGGCUGUCACCCAUGAGUCUGAAGAAACAGGCUUUAGACUGGUCCUCCAAGAAUGAUCACCAGAUCCGUGCAGAACUCUUCAACACUGACACUUCUGCACUUAAAACCACCUGUGGAGCGGGUUUCGGAAUGCAUCUCUGGAGCAGCGAUUCUGGAAUCAGGAAGCUGAAAACAAGAACCCUUACUCCCUCAGCUAUCAUUGCUGCCACUGUUCUCACCAAGCAAGAAGCUGAAGAAAAGUCAGUGGAAGACUGCUGCCAAAAACACAAGACAUUUUCAUGGUCUUUCCUGCCAGAAUAUAAAGCCAAAAGAAAGGUGGUAGCUGUGGCUUAACUUUCAACUUCCAAGUCUUAGAUGAUUUCAAGACUUUGAACAACAAAGUCCAUUAAUAUUUCUCAAUGAUAAGAGGCACCAUUAUCAUUUAGAAUUAAAAAAAAAUUUUAUUGAAGAGUAAUGCAUACAAGGAAAACGUACUUAUUAUUAAGUAUACAGCUUGAUUGAUUUUUAUAAAGUGAGUACACUUGCGUAACCAGUAGUGGAAUUUUGAAACAGAGCAUUAAGAACUUCCAGAAAUCCCCCUUCUUGUCAAGUCUCAGUCUCUACUUCCAAUAAAAUGUUUUUCCAUUUUGUGUAGUUUAUGUGACCUGAAUCUGUUAUUAUGUAAUUUGUGUCUGGUGUAGUCGCUUAACCAAUUGAGAGAUUUGUCCAUGUUAUUGAGCAUAGUGCAUGUAGUUGUGGUUUCUCUAUUUUCAUGGUUGUACAGAAUUCCAUUGCAAGAAUAAACCAAAUUGAUUUAUUUAUCCUACUGUUCAUAUACAUUUAGUAAUUCCUUGCUCUUGAAAAUUAUAAAUGAUAUGUUCUAGAAUUCUAAUUUGAUGACCAUAUGCUAAGACUGAAUGUUUGUGCCUUCCAAUAAUUCAGGGUUGAAGCCUAAGUCCCAACAUAUUAGUAUUUGCAAGUGGGAUCUUUGCAGGUAAUUAGGUCAUGAGCAUGGAACCCUGAUGGAUGGAUUUAGUGCUCUUAUGAGAAGAGACAGGAGAGAUGAUCGCUGCCAUGCGAGGAUACAGCUAGAAGAUGGCCAUCUGCAAACCAGGAAAUGAGCCCUCACCAUAAUCCAACCAUGACAGUACCUUGAUUUCAGACUUCCUACCCCCUAGAACUGUGAGAAAUUAAUCUCUGUUGUUUGCCUCAAUGAAUCUAUGGUGUUUUUCCUAUAGAAGCCCAAAGCAAUACACCAUAUAUGUGCAUUUUAUUGGAUGUAUUCUUAGGAGUUGAAAUACUUGUUCACAGAGUUGCAUAUGUAUGUAUAGGUAUAUGUUCAUUGGCCAUUUGGAUAUCAUCAUUUGGGAAGAAUCUGUUCAAAAUUUUUGCCUUUUUAUUUGAGUCAUCUGUUUUUUUCUCAUAAACUGUUAAGAGUUCUUUAUAUCUAGAUAUGCACCAUUUGUCAGAUAUACGUAUCUUGCCACACUUUGUGGUUUGUCUUUUCACUAUGUUAAUGGUAUCUUUUGAUAAAUAUUAAUUUUACUGUAAUCCAGUUUUUUACUGUUUUCUUCUGUGAUUAGUAAUUAUGGUGUACUGCUCAAGAAAUCUUUGCCUAAUCCAAGUGAAAAAGGUAUUUUCUUAGGUUUUCCUCAAAAUCUUUAUCAUUUGUUCCUUCAUAUUUUGAUCUGUAACCCAUGUAAAAUUAAUUUUUGUAUGUGGUGUGAGGUAGAGGUCAAGAUUCAUUUUUUUCCCAUAGAUAUAUCCAAUGAACCCAGCAUAAUUUCUUGGAAAGACUCACUCUUUUGCAUUGCACUACAGUGGUGCUUUGGUCAUAAAUCCAGCAGAUGACAGUAUGUUUGCAAGAUCCUACUAAGUUUUUGAGGAAAUUCUAUUGCCAGAGAAACCAUGGUAGUCAGGAAUCUGGAAUAUUUAUCUACUUGCUUUUGUAUAAGAGGGAAAAUAUGACAUUUAAA